UGAACGCUGGCGGCAGGCCUAAUGCAUGCAAGUCGAACGGCUCUUCGGAGCAGUGGCGGACGGGUGAGUAACGCGUGGGAAUGUGCCCUUAGGUACGGAACAACACAGGGAAACUUGUGCUAAUACCGUAUGUGCCCUUCGGGGGAAAGAUUUAUCGCCUUUGGAGCAGCCCGCGUUGGAUUAGGUAGUUGGUGAGGUAAAGGUUCACCAAGCCGACGAUCCAUAGCUGGUCUGAGAGGAUGACCAGCCACACUGGGACUGAGACACGGCCCAGACUCCUACGGGAGGCAGCAGUAGGGAAUCUUGCGCAAUGGGCGAAAGCCUGACGCAGCCAUGCCGCGUGUGUGAUGAAGGUCUUAGGAUUGUAAAAUACUUUCACCGGGGAAGAUAAUGACGGUACCCGGAGAAGAAGUCCCGGCUAACUUCGUGCCAGCCGCCGCGGUAA
rnacentral:rRNA from 1 species